CAGCCGCCGCGGUAACACCAGCACCUCGAGUGGUCAGGAGGUUUAUUGGGCCUAAAGCAUCCGUAGCCGGUUGCAUAAGUUUUCGGUUAAAUCUAUGCGCUUAACGUAUAGGCCGCCGAAAAUACUGUGCAGCUAGGGAGUGGGAGAGGUACACGGUACUCGAUAGGAAGGGGUAAAAUCCUUUGAUCUAUUGAUGACCACCUGUGGCGAAGGCGGUGUACCAGAACACGUUCGACGGUGAGGGAUGAAAGCUGGGGGAGCAAACCGGAUUAGAUACCCCGGUAGUCCCUGUCUCUUAUAC
rnacentral:rRNA from 1 species